GCGACAGGCAGGGAGCCGACAGGGACCACACCAAAGCAACAGGAAGAACCCGGGGAUGGGACGGGAGAGGGCAGGGCUGAGCGGGAAGGGGCGACAGGGAUGGUCCAGCCAAGGCAUAACCAGCCUUCACCCGGGCGCUCGCUGCGCGCACAGCGCCGCGCUGGGCACUUUGGAGCGCUCUCUCGGAGUCCCCCCCACCGGCCCUCCGAUGCCCCAUUUCAGAGACUGGAAUGACGAGGCCGACCCCGCAACGCCCGCUCAGCUCUGUCACCCGCCCCGGGGCAGCGGUGGCUCAGCGCCUGACCCUCCCGGACGCAGGGGGUCGCUGGCGGCCGCAGGGGGCGGUGGCGUGGGGGCCGGCGCGGGCCGGGGCAGCCGGUACCUGGGCUCGGGCAGGACGAUCCUCUUGCUGGCGCGGGCGGCCGGGGUCGCCUUGCUCUUCUCCAUGGCCAUCAGGUGAUGAUGAAACCCCGUGCCCCAGCGGAUCGGGCCCCUUCUUCGUGACCCUGAACAUCGCCCCAGCCCCGCCGUGAGAAUUCAGCGAAGAGUAAAAAGCUGAAGAAAGUUGCGUGUCUCAGGCUAAGCAAAGUGGAGUGAGGGCUCCCCGGCUAGGAACAGCUGCCCUUAGGGAGCCCCCCGUUGGAAAAGCUCUCGGCUUUAGAAGGUCACCACUCCCUUGCACUCAGCAGUACGGUGUAGUAAGUUUGGAACAAGACGCACCUGAAAUCAAAUACCUGUCCUAUGCCUGCAGACGGAAUCUCUCUCUGUUGCCAGGCUGGAGUGCGGUAGCACAAUCUCGGCUCACUACAACCUCCACCUCCCAGAUUCAAGCGAUUCUCCUGCCUCAGCCUCCCUAGUAUCCUGUGUGUUAAGCUCCAAUCUUCGUCACGUGAGAGUAUUUGAAAUGGAUAUAGAUGAUGACUGAGAGCUCGAUGAGUCUUCAGAUGAAGAGGAGGAGGCCAGUAACGAGCCUGUGAAAAUAAAGGAAGAAGUGUUGUCAGAGUCGGAGGCAGAGAACCAACAAGCCGGUGCUGCCGCCUUAGCUCCAGAGAUAGUCCUCAAAGUGGAAAAACUUGACCCUGAGCUAGAUUCAUAAUCUAGCUUGCUAUUACUGUGUGUGUCAUUAUGGCCAAAAGGACCUAGGAGAUGGACUGAGAUGUCUUGGACCACCUUUAAUUUUCUUUGUGUGACAAAGAAAUAAACAGUCAAUUUUAUUUUUUCAAAAUUACAGGCACAUGCCACCACAUUCAACUAAUUUUUGUAUUUUUAGUAAAGACGGGGUUUCAUCAUGUUGGCCAAAAUGGUCUCCAUCUCUUGACCUCCUAAUCCACCUGCCUCAGCCUCCUAAAGUGUUGGGAUUACAGGUGUGAGCCACCAAAGUUUCUUUUGCCAACAACUUGAAAUGAAAAAAGCGGAGAACUGACUGGCCUUAUUUGUUUUAGAUUCUGGACUUUACUAGGACUUCCUACUCUCAGAAUCUCUGGACUAUAAAAGCUGGGUGGGGUGGGAGCUGGGAACGUUCUUCUGGGAAAUUAAUCACAAAUGAAAAGAAAAUCAACUCUCAGACUCCAGUUAGAAGACUUUUGAAAAUUGCAGAACAUGAGUGGCCUUCAUUCAUUCAAGUCACAAUAUUUAAAGCAGUCCUUGCUAAAAAGAACUUGAUUUUGUAAAAGCAGUGUCUUAAAUAGAAUUGCUUCUCAAGAAAACAACAGGAAA